rnacentral:rRNA from 1 species
CAGCAGCCACGGGAAUACGGAGGGAGCUAGCGUUAUUCGGAAUUACUGGGCGUAAAGCGCACGUAGGCGGCUUUGUAAGUUAGAGGUGAAAGCCUGGAGCUCAACUCCAGAAUUGCCUUUAAGACUGCAUCGCUUGAAUCCAGGAGAGGUGAGUGGAAUUCCGAGUGUAGAGGUGAAAUUCGUAGAUAUUCGGAAGAACACCAGUGGCGAAGGCGGCUCACUGGACUGGUAUUGACGCUGAGGUGCGAAAGCGUGGGGAGCAAACAGGAUUAGAUACCCCGGUAGUCCCUGUCUCUUAUAC